UUAAAAUAAAAUUUACAAGAAAUUGACAACAGAACAACUCAAAAUAUUUGAGAUUUUGAAUGAUUAAGACUGAAAGUUGAUUAACCAUUUUUAUUAACUAGUAAUUUUCACAUCUAAAUAUUGAAGCUUAGUACAAGUGUACUAGAAGAUUGAAUAUAAAUGAAUGUUGCUUUACCACUUGAAAUUAAUUUAAGAAAAAACUUCAAAAUCAUACUAAAAAAAUAUAUAUCUAUAUCCUAUGUGAACAAUACGUUUUUUAAAAGGAAAAAAAUAGAUGAGAGAUUUUUUGUCAUCCAUUUGAAUAUUAUCUAUGGAUGUGCAUAGUUCUAGUAGAAAAUAAGAACUUGUUGUUAGCAACCAAUUUUACAUAUAUAUUUUGUGAUAUGUAAAAUUUCAAAGCUACCAAGUUGCCACAUUUAUAAUUUAGAUCUGAUAAGUAUAAUUUGAUUAAUUCCUUUUUGGAAUUAUAUAUAUAUAUAUAUAUUUCACAAGUGUAUGAUACAAGAUGUUCUUUUAAUGAUCCAACACAUGGUUCAAUUCAAGUGGCAAAACCAACAGAUUUUCUUAAUAUUUUUAAUACUAAUUCUUUUUUCUAAAUAUCUUAAUAUAAUUUCUUAAAUAAUGCUUAAUUGUAACAAAAUAAAGUCUCACCUUUUCAAAAACAGUCGUAUUCCUUUAUAAAGCCCAAUGUUGCACAACUAAUGACAUAAAAGAAUUCUAUUAAGUUUUAAAUAAAGAUUAUAUUUUUGAAAUAAAUAAAUUUAUGAAAGAUUAUAUGUAAUUAUAAAAAAAGACUGAUUUUAAGAAAAACCAAACUUAGAGAAUUUUCUUAAGACGCACGACCUAGAAAUUUUUUUGUUAGAAAUUUGAACCACUUCAAGCACAACUACUAAUCUUUAAAAACAUCAAAAAAUUGCGUUUUUUUUUUAAAAUUGAAGGGAGGGAUGGAUGGAUGGAUGGAUGGAAGGGGUGGCAAGGAUGCUGCCAAGCUCCUCCGCUAAGCCCCAACGUCAGAGACGAAGAGAAUAUGCAGGUAGCGCCGUGGCCCACAAGAAGCCCCGAUGAUGCGAGAGAGAGUGAGAGAGAGCGAGAGAGUGAGAGAGAGAUCGAGGGAGAGACAGACCGAGAGCAUCCAGGAAAAGGGGUUGUUUGCCUCCCAUCCCAUUCCCAGUGGCGGAAGGGAAAGGGCAGAGGAGGCGCUGGCUCUUGUUUGAAUCCACUAUUCAGAGAGAUUGCGCACAGUUUCGAAGCCCACGCACAGCAACUCCCUCCUUCCCUUCCCUGCCAGUGGAUUCAGUCGGAAGCGGUCUGUACCAAUUAGCUUCAGGGCUCUCUACAGGAGCGAACCCUCGGCGCCCAACAGACGCAACCCUCACCCACCAAACGCCAAUGAAACCGUCGGACGCUCUUCGACGCUGGAGGCUGGCUGGUCAUCCAGCGCAACGGUCAAUGGCGACGACUGAGGAGGGAAGCAAGCAGGGGGGGG
rnacentral:lncRNA from 1 species